rnacentral:rRNA from 1 species
CACACAUGCUGUGAGCUCGAUGAGUAAGGCGGGACACGUGGUAUCCUGUCUGAAUAUGGGGGGACCAUCCUCCAAGGCUAAAUACUCCUGACUGACCGAUAGUGAACCAGUACCGUGAGGGAAAGGCGAAAAGAACCCCGGCGAGGGGAGUGAAACAGAACCUGAAACCGUGUACGUACAAGCAGUGGGAGCCUUCUUUAUGGGGGUGACUGCGUACCUUUUGUAUAAUGGGUCAGCGACUUAUAUUCUGUAGCAAGGUUAACCGUAUAGGGGAGCCGCAGGGAAACCGAGUCUUAACUGGGCGUUAAGUUGCAGGGUAUAGACCCGAAACCCGGUGAUCUAGCCAUGGGCAGGUUGAAGGUUGGGUAACACUAACUGGAGGACCGAACCGACUAAUGUUGAAAAAUUAGCGGAUGACCUGUGGCUGGGGGUGAAAGGCCAAUCAAACCGGGAGAUAGCUGGUUCUCCCCGAAAGCUAUUUAGGUAGCGCCUCGUGAACUCAUCUUCGGGGGUAGAGCACUGUUUCGGCUAGGGGGCCAUCCCGGCUUACCAACCCGAUGCAAACUGCGAAUACCGAAGAAUGUUAUCACGGGAGACACACGGCGGGUGCUAACGUCCGUCGUGAAGAGGGAAACAACCCAGACCGCCAGCUAAGGUCCCAAAGUCAUGGUUAAGUGGGAAACGAUGUGGGAAGGCACAGACAGCCAGGAUGUUGGCUUAGAAGCAGCCAUCAUUUAAAGAAAGCGUAAUAGCUCACUGGUCGAGUCGGCCUGCGCGGAAGAUGUAACGGGGCUAAACCAUGCACCGAAGCUGCGGCAGCGACGCUUAUGCGUUGUUGGGUAGGGGAGCGUUCUGUAAGCCGUCGAAGGUGUGCUGUG